AUUGAACGCUGGCGGCAGGCCUAACACAUGCAAGUCGGACGAGUGGCGGACGGGUGAGUAAUGUGUGGGAAAAUGCCUGAUGGAGGGGGAUAACUACUGGAAACGGUAGCUAAUACCGCAUACCAUCAGAUGAACACAGAUGGGAUUAUCUUGUUGGUUGGGUAAAGGCUCAACAAGGAUAAGAUCCCUAUCUGGUCUGAGAGGAUGACCAGCCACACGGGAACGGAGAAACGGUCCAGACUCCUACGGGAGGCAGCAGUGGGGAAGAUUGCACAAUGGGCGCAAGCCUGAUGCAGCCAUGCCGCGUGUAUGAAGAAGGCCUUCGGGUUGUAAAGUACUUUCAGCGGGGAGGCGUUACCCGCAGAAGAAGCACCGGCUAACUCCGUGCCAGCAGCCGCGGUAAUUC
rnacentral:rRNA from 1 species